rnacentral:rRNA from 1 species
AACGAACGCUGGCGGCAUGCCUAACACAUGCAAGUCGAACGAGAUCUUCGGAUCUAGUGGCGCACGGGUGCGUAACGCGUGGGACUCUGCCCUUUGCUUCGGAAUAACAGUGAGAAAUUACUGCUAAUACCGGAUGAUGUCUUCGGACCAAAGAUUUAUCGGCAAGGGAUGAGCCCGCGUAGGAUUAGGUUGUUGGUGGGGUAACGGCCUACCAAGCCGACGAUCCUUAGCUGGUCUGAGAGGAUGAUCAGCCACACUGGGACUGAGACACGGCCCAGACUCCUACGGGAGGCAGCAGUGGGGAAUAUUGGACAAUGGGGGAAACCCUGAUCCAGCAAUGCCGCGUGAGUGAUGAAGGCCUUAGGGUUGUAAAGCUCUUUUACCAGGGAUGAUAAUGACAGUACCUGGAGAAUAAGCUCCGGCUAACUCCGUGCCAGCCGCCGCCGUAACAC